GUGCUUGCUUCGGCAGCACUUAUACUAAAAUUGGAAUCAUGCAGAGAAGAUUACCAUGGCCCCUGCACAAAGAUGACAUGCAAAUUUGUGAAGCAUUCCAUAUUUUU